rnacentral:rRNA from 1 species
AACGAACGCUGGCCGCAUGCCUAACACAUGCAAGUCGAACGAGACCUUCGGGUCUAGUGGCGCACGGGUGCGUAACGCGUGGGAAUCUGCCCUUGGGUUCGGAAUAACAGCGAGAAAUUGCUGCUAAUACCGGAUGAUGACGUAAGUCCAAAGAUUUAUCGCCCAAGGAUGAGCCCGCGUAGGAUUAGCUAGUUGGUGAGGUAAAGGCUCACCAAGGCGACGAUCCUUAGCUGGUCUGAGAGGAUGAUCAGCCACACUGGGACUGAGACACGGCCCAGACUCCUACGGGAGGCAGCAGUGGGAAUAUGGACAAUGGGCGAAAGCCUAGAUCCAGCAAUGCCGCGUGAGUGAUGAAGGCCUUAGGGUU